GUACUCGCUUCGGCAGCACGUAAACUAAAAUUGGAAUGAUACUGGGAAGAUUGGAAUGACCCCUGCACAAAAACAGUCUAAUGUGGAAGGGAUUAAAGCUCAU